rnacentral:rRNA from 1 species
UACGUAGGGGGCAAGCGUUAUCCGGAUUCACUGGGCGUAAAGGGAGCGCAGGCGGCAUGGCAAGUCUGAUGUGAAAACCCGGGGCCCAACCCCGGGAGUGAAUUGGAAACUGCCAGGCUGGAGUGUCGGAGGGGUAAGCGGAAUUCCUAGUGUAGCGGUGAAAUGCGUUGAUAUUAGGAGGAACACCAGUGGCGAAGGCGGCUUACUGGACGACUACUGACGCUGAGGCUCGAAAGCGUGGGGAGCAAACAGG